rnacentral:lncRNA from 1 species
AAAAAAAAAAAAAAAAAAAAAAAAAAAAAAAAAAAAAAAAAAAAAAAAAAAAAAAAAAAAAAAAAAAAUGAAAGAAAUGAAAGAAAUAAAACAUGCUGAUGUAAAACAUUUUUUGGAUACCUACUACACAGGCCAAAUAUUAACUAUAAAAGGUAAAAAAGAAAUUAAUCAAUUUAGUACAAAAUACUAUGUUAGUGAUAUACAUGCAGGUUUACCUACAUUUUUAAAUGCAAAAUUGAAUAUAGAUUUUUUAUUGAAACAUUUUAAUUGUAAGGAAAUAGAAGAAGAUAAUAAAAUAGAAAAGGUUUAUAAUCAGGACCAUAUAAUACAGUCAUAUAAUAAUGAUAAUAUACAUAUCAUGAUAUGUAAUGGAUAUACAUAUAUAGAUAAUGAGUAUAAUGAUAAUUUAGAUAGUUUUUUAAAAAUUGUAAAUGAAAAAUUACCACAUGUAGUUAUUAUUUUAGGUCCCUUUUUAUAUAUUCGUAGUAAUGAGACCAUACAAAAAAUUGGUGAUAUUAAUGUUAUAUAUGAAUCUAUUUUUAAUAAAAUUAUAAAAGUAGCAAAAAAAGAAUCUUUAGAAAAAACACAGUUUUAUAUAAUACCAUCUUUAUAUGAUCCAAUUAAUAUUUAUCCACUACCCCAACCUCCUUUUUUUUAUGAACAAAAUUAUAAUAAUAUGAACUUACAAAAUGUACAUU